GCGAGUGAAGCGGCAAGAGCUCAGAUUUGAAAUCUCACCUAGUGUGCGAGUUGUAAAUUGCAGGUUGGAGUCUCGGGUUAGACGUGUGUGCAAGUCCCUUGGAACAGGGCGCCACUGAGGGUGAGAGCCCCGUAUCGUGCAUGUCGACACCUGUGAGGCCCUUCUGACGAGUCGAGUUGUUUGGGAAUGCAGCUCUAAGUGGGUGGUAAAUUCCAUCUAAGGCUAAAUAUUGGCGAGAGACCGAUAGCGAACAAGUACUGUGAAGGAAAGAUGAAAAGCACUUUGAAAAGAGAGUGAAACAGCACGUGAAAUUGUUGAAAGGGAAGGGUAUUGGGCUCGACAUGGGAUUUACGCAUCGUUGCCUCUCGUGGGCGGCGCUCUGGGUUUUUCCUGGGCCAGCAUCGGUUUUCGUUGCAGGAUAAGGACAAUUGGAAUGUGGCUCCUCGGAGUGUUAUAGCCUUUUGUAGAUGCUGCGUAUGGGGACCGAGGGCUGCGGCGGACUCGUUUCGUCUCGGAUGCUGGCACAACGGCGCAAUACCGCCC
rnacentral:rRNA from 1 species